GGUCUCGUAGCUCAGCUGGAUAGAGCAUCGGUUUCCUAAACCGUGUGUCGUGAGUUCGAAUCUCACCGGGAUCA
rnacentral:tRNA from 2 species